GACGUAGGGCGCGAGCGUUGUCCGGAUUUAUUGGGCGUAAAGAGCUCGUAGGCGGCUUGUCGCGUCGAAUGUGAAAUUUUAGGGCUCAACCCUGACAUUGCAUUCGAUACGGGCAGGCUUGAGUUCGGUAGGGGAGACUGGAAUUCCUGGUGUAGCGGUGAAAUGCGCAGAUAUCAGGAGGAACACCGGUGGCGAAGGCGGGUCUCUGGGCCGAUACUGACGCUGAGGAGCGAAAGCUAGGGGAGCAAACGGG
rnacentral:rRNA from 1 species